UGUGAAAAAAAAUUAAAAUCUUUCCAGAAGGAGAAAAUCAGUCGGUACGGCAUAAUAUUAUCAUUGAAAUGGAGCAGAGGAACAUGGCUGAUGCGUGUAAGUACGCUGCGGAUAUUGUUUGUAUCAUCAUAUCGACAUUGUUGUUUUAUAACGGACAAAGUCGCAUGCAUAUGUCUUUUCCUGCAAAUUUCUCGGAACCUGGGACCGCUCCCAGCUAUAGCAACCACUUGGAACCGAUAGAGCUCCGCGCCUUCUAUGUAACGGAAGUGGAACAUACCACUAGAAGUCUUCAAAUAUUCUGAAAUCAGAAAAGUAUUUGAAAUUUAAGCUUGCGAGAAAAAAAAUAAACAUUAAAUAAUUUAUUAUUUUGCCAAAAACAGACUUUUGAAUCAUUUGCGAUAAUAAUAAUAAUAAUAUUAAAAACAUGGAAAAUGAACAACUAAAACAUUAAAUUUCAAAGCUUUUUCUGUUUAAA